rnacentral:rRNA from 1 species
AACGACUCUCGRCAACGGAUAUCUCGGCUCUCGCAUCGAUGAAGAACGUAGCGAAAUGCGAUACUUGGUGUGAAUUGCAGAAUCCCGUGARCCAUCGAGUCUUUGAACGCAAGUUGCGCCCGAAGCCGUCAGGUUGAGGGCACGCCUGCCUGGGCGUCACGC